rnacentral:rRNA from 1 species
UUUGGUGACGAUAGCAAAGAGGAUACACCUGUUCCCAUCCCGAACACAGUAGUUAAGCUCUUUAGCGCCGAUGGUAGU